rnacentral:rRNA from 1 species
CGUCUAUAUACGUAUAGCAUAUCAAUAAGCGGAGGAAAAGCAUAAGGCAUGUAUACCUACGCUUAGGAUGUUGAAGAUGUAGCACAUCAUACACGCAUGACACACUGCAUAUCAAUAAGCGGAGGAAAAGAAACUAACAAGGAUUCCCUUAGUAACGGCGAGUGAAGCGGGAAGAGCUCAAAUUUGAAAUCUUCAAGGUUCUACCUUGACGAAUUGUAGUUUAAAGAAGUGUUUUCUGUUAGAGGAGUAGCAAAAGUUCCUUGGAAUGGGACAUCAUAGAGGGUGAGAAUCCCGUAUUUGGUUAUUCUUUCUAGCUUUGUGAUACACUUUCAAAGAGUCGGAUUGUUUGGGAAUGCAGUCCAAAAUGGGUGGUAAAUUUCAUCUAAAGCUAAAUAUUGGCGAGAGACCGAUAGCGAACAAGUACCGUGAGGGAAAGAUGAAAAGAACUUUGAAAAGAGAGUUAAACAGUACGUGAAAUUGUCAAAAGGGAAGCGUUUGACACCAGUGUUGUUUUUCCGAAAAUCAAUUAAGAGCUGGCUUGAUUUUGUGUUGUAUUGACCUUAUCAGCUUUCUUCACUCUUUUUCGGGUCUUUCUUAAUGCACUUUUCGGUUAACAAGUCAACAUCAAUUUCUUUUGUUGUAAAAGGGUAUUUGGAAGGUGGCUUUCUUUUCGGAGAAAGUGUUUAUAGCCUUAUACCUCUACAAUCGGAGAGAUUGAGGUCUGCAGCGUAGAUCCUUCGGGGCUAGAUACACUUGUGCUAAGUUAUAGCUUUUCAUAGACAACUUGUUGACUAUGUUUAGUCAUGUAGCUUACCCGCUUGUGCUAUUUUACCUACGCUUAGGAUGUUGAGUCAUCACACAUCUCU